GGUGUAGCUGUUGCCAGCCUGAAUGUCUGUCCAUUGACUCGAAGCUUUCCCCCCAUUUUGAACUAUGAAUUCGGGAGCGGUAUGUGAGACAGUGCGGAAGGAGAGGACUUUGCAUUUGCCUGCCCAUCAUCGAUCGAUGAUGAUAAUUUAUCGAAAAGCAGUACGAGUAAUUGUGCGGAAAGCGAGUGAAUUGGCCGGACCGUUUGUUGAGCCAUUAUCGUGUUGCUACUCGGGCAUGCACGCCCGAUUUGCUUGCGAACAGGAACCUGAACAAAAAUGCGUACGUACGCAGCACACCUUUUGGAAGCAAUCAAACUCCAUCCAAGCAAGCCGUUCUACAAAUAUUGACAACAGGAAUGUGGGUCCAAUUAACGGCGCAAUAGGGCCGUUUCUCGGUGUUCUGGGAAAGCGUUGAUCCGAGUGUGCCGAUUUACGAUAGGCAUAAAUAAAUGAGCCUUUUAAAUUAAACGAGCCCUUCGUUUGCCCCUCACUCCAUUUCACAGGUCCCGUCCGUAAGCCACAGCACAGUUUGGAAAACAAUGAGCGCUCGAUGUAAUUAGAAGGUAAACAAGGGGGUCCAACAUGGCGACCGGCCAAAGAACCACGCAAGCUUACGAAACUGUUUACUUUCUGUAGCGCACAAAAAAAAAAAAAAAACAGAUAGACAGAUUGAUGCUCUGAAGUACAGCGGGAAAUCCCAUACGUACAGCAUGGUUUGCAAGAACCGGUAAACUAACCUAGCUAAGGUGACUCGUCUUUUUCAUCGAUGGACAACACGGUCCGCAACGCGUAACGGAGCGUCACCCAGUCGAACUCUUCCGCUGGUGGUGUAGCAGUGUAGACGUGUGCGUGAAAGCUUUCGCCAAAGGGCCCCAGUAAGCUAUGGCAACACUUCCGCCACUGCCUGGACCACCGAACGCAGCUGCACGGGAACGGCAUCAUCAUCAUCACCGUCGGCGUGCUCACGGGCUGUACUUCCAUUCAUCACCACCGAAGGUACUCCAAAUGAAUAACCACUUAGCAGCAAAGGACAACGAUUACAGGAGCAGAGACGCGAUCAAACCGUCCAACAUUCGAAUAUGGUUGCAUCACAAGCAAAUGUCCAAGCUGGCGAAAGUGCUGUGGGCCGGUCAGGGUAUGCGGCUGCGGACGGAAACUUCACACCAUCCGCGUAUGAAGCGGUUCCUGGAGUGCGUUCCGCACGUUAUGGGUGUAAUUAAAGACAUUCAUCAAGCCGUAAUAGACAAUGAUCUGGAUGUGUUGAAGGAAAAGACGGCUCCACCGGCACCGAGAGUCAUACUUACCAGCAAGGAUGCGAACGGUUUGACGCCUCUGCAUAAGGCCGCCGGGUUGGCGCACACACAGAUCGUCGAAUACAUCCUAUCCGUGUGGCCCAGCCUUUCGUCGGAUGAGGAUCACACCGGCAAGACGCCGCUCCAUUGGGCGGCUAGCGCGAAAAACAACGCGCGUAGCUUUAACCUGCUCGUGCAGGCCGGUGCCGACGAGACGGCACUGGACGAUCGCCACAAACCAGCCGAACACUACAAGAACAAACCGAGCGAUAUUGACCGAUCGUUGCUGUCCGUCAUCCCGGAAGCGCCCCGAAUAUCGCAGCAGGGUUUCCCGGCGUACUUCGAUUGGGCCAUGUUUACGCUCCCGGACGAUUCCGAUGAGGGUUCACAGCCAACGCGAAUGAAACCGUUUCUUUCGCAGAAUAAUCUACUGGAUGCGGAAACGCCCGAGGAAGGUGCCGGGGUGGCCGACACGGUCAGCAAAUCGAAAUCGGUACACAAUCUCACGAACGGUGUGCUGACCGAGCUGGGUCGGGACGAGCAGCAAAGUAAUGGAGUGGAAAGCACGGAGGAAAAACAAAUUGAACAGGGCGAGGUAGUGGAUGAUAAACCGAAGGAGGAAAACGAUACUGAGCAGGAAGCGGCACUGUCUGAGAAGGAGGACAAUCGUGAGGAAGCAACGGAAGAAAAGGACGGGACGGUAGUGGAGCAUAAUGAAGAAAUUAGUGUUCAGCCGCCGGACGCAGCUGAAACCGAUGCCCCGGUCGUAUCGAACGAUAAGGUAGAUGGGGACGGUGAUGAUCAAGCACAAGAAACACAGCAAACCGAAUCGGAUCGUGGGGAAGCUGAGGGAAUGUCUGAACAUAAUGACGAACCGGAUAUAACAGAUUCGGCGGAAGUAAAAGAAAACGGUCAUUUAGAUGCACCGGAAGACGAACCACAAGUAAGCCGUAACUCGUCCGCUAGAGAAGCUAAAGUUACGGGCAGUGCUAAAAGCAACGAAAUAGACAGAGCAUCCGAUACGGAGAUCGAACAGGAGGACAACCCUUCACCGGUCGCGCUUGAAGAGGCAGAGGUGUCAAAGGACAGCCUGGAACAGGUUCUAGCGAAAGAUGACGAAAUCGAACUGGAUAGUCUCGGAAAGGAUUUAGAACCGGAAGAGCUUGUAACGGGUGGUGAUCGCGGUCCUUCUGCAGCAUCCGCUAAAGGAUCGCUUAAAACCCCGGACUCGCAGUCCGGUUCUAGGGUAACUACAGGGAAAAGUAUCAAAUCAACCAUCACCGUGGAAGAGCAAGCUGGUGUAGAGGAGCCGAUUAGUAGAAAAUCUUCUGCUGCUGUUGUUUCAAACGGAUUGACCCCUUCUAAUGGCGUGGAUGGACAUUCUGAACCAGAAGACACGCCGGACGUUAAUGAUCUGGAGAAUCGUGACGAGCUAACAUCCGGUAAAAGUGGACGCCAUCGAACGUAUCCAAACUCAGCGAAGGAGUCGAUAACAUCCACAUCGCGUCCACCGACCGGUACCGAUGCUCCAUUGGAGGCCAUGUCACGGGUGGCUUCGUCAACGCUCACACCCACCACCCGCCCAUCGGGCAAUCGGUCGUCUCAUUCAUCCACCAAAAGUCGGAAAGCAUCCAUCGGUUCACAGAAGUCGGUGACCUCCACCGCCAGUAGCGCAACACGAGCGAAAACGGUUAACCAGGAGGACGGUGAUGGCGACGAUGAUGGUGACGAUUCGGAAGCAAACGAUGAUUCAAACAAUGCCGAUGUGCAGAUCGCUAGUUACCGUACGCCUGACGAGAAAUCAACUACAACGCGAUUAGAAAGUGCUGCGAGCGUUAGAGAGCAGGAUCCUGCCAACCAACCAACAUCGGCGCAACAAAUAUUAGAGGAAUCUACAGAACCAUCCAACGAGGCAGACACAGCAACGCAACCAACAGCGAAAUCCGUCUCACCAAAAUCAGCCAACGGUACUGAACUUUCCAGCCAAGUGCUGGAAAUUGAAGGAACAGUACAGGGAGAACCAGAUCAAGGACAGCUCCAGUCUCAAAACGAACCAGCAGUAGAACUUAACGAGCAGCCGAAUAUACAGCAAACAGUGCAGGACGCUAUUGAUGCUGCAGAUUUAGAGCAGUUGGCUGCAAUCGUGCUUAACGGCGAAGGAAAGCAGUUAAUCGGACGAAAGUCGGAACAGUCGGAAAUACAGGCCUUUCUGGACAAUGUUCCGGCGUACAUGGGUAAAAUACGGCGCGUACAUCUGGCAGCACGCGAGGGAAGCCUGCGUGAUUUACAGUCGGCACUGGACAGACGUAAAUUUGCCACGGCAAAGGAUGAGGUAUCACCGCACGGUGCAACACCCCUGCACGUGGCGACAAUAUUCGGUCAUGCAGGCAUUGUCCGGUAUCUGGCCGGUCGCUUUCCCGAGACACUCAGCGCGACGGACGACGAUGGACGAACGCCGCUACACUAUGCGGCCACGCUGAAGGACAACGGCCACUUUUACAAUCUUCUAACACAUCUCGGAGCCAACCCGAAGGUGGAGGACAAUCUCAACCAUUCGGCCGAAUACUAUCUGGGUCACGUGCAGUCCCAGGGCAUCCUUUCCCAUCGACAACUGUUGCGCGACUAUGGUGCCAAGGAGGAACUCGCCGAUGAGAUGCUGAACGAUCAAGUUCCGGACGAUCUGCACAGUGCCCGCCGUCCAUUGGACGAUGUCGACACGCUGACCACACUGGAACGAUGCUUCAAAAUCAUCCACGAACCUAUCGACGAUCUAGUGAAAGCGGUCGGGCUGCCCACCAACAGUGUCCCGGGCAGUGCCUCAUCGCUCCGCAUCCUGAUCACCUCGUACCUGGCGCGCUUCCUCAAGCGAAGUGUGUUCGAUAAGGUGAAAAAGCGACAAACCCGUCUAGAUCACAAUCUGUUCGACGUGAUAUGGCCGGCGAUGAAGAAGGCGACCAAGGAGAAGCGGUUGGAUGAGGAUUUGAACGUCGGUAUCGUCAUACCGGACUACGAUGUGUUUGUCGUGUUCCAGGAGUUUCUCGUACCACUAAUCAAGGACGUCCACUGUAUGGAGGCGACGCAACCGUUCAUGCCUCACCCUGCGAUGCAGUACUUCCCGCGCUACGCAAUAAACGAUCAACAGCCUGAAACAGGACCUACCUCAGCAUCUAGCAGCAAUGGUAACAUUCUGCGCGAAAACCCCGACAGUGUGCAGCUAAACCUGGACACGUCGGGCAAGUACAUUACCGGCUGUGUCAUCGAGUGUGCACGCAAUCUGGAUGCAUACGAGUUUCCACUCAACCUGGGCAUUGCCCAGCUGGAACAGGUGGAGCGUGUCAUUACCGCGAGGGUACUGUCGAUGGAUUUUGUGCGCGCUAUCGGUGAGACGGAACUCGGCACGUACUACAGUAUGAACGAAAUAUUGGAAAACCCUUCGGAAAUCCGCACUGUGCUGGCCACCAGCGGACUGCUCAUACCGUUGCUGGAUCAUACCGAUCCGUACCAGACGGCCGAAUCAAUCGCCAUUAAUGGACGGUACUGGCCGUACGGCCGGGGUGUGUACGUCAGUGUUGACGGGGGGCUAGCAGUGUGGGUCAACACGCAGGACCACCUGAGGUUGCUGUGCUGCACGGAAAGCAAGGAUCCAGCCUCGAUUGGCGCAGCGUACUCGAAAGUUGGCCGUGCCAUGAACUACCUCGAGGAGUGGAUCCAGUUCAAGCACAGCUACUUCCUCGGGUACCUCCUAUCGCGGCCCUCAUUUCUAGGCACCGGUCUAAAGUUCACCCUAACGCUUGUUCUGCCCCAUCUGCGCAAGGAGCAGGAAAACCUGCGCCAUCUGUGCGUUGUACGCGGCUUGCAUCUUCUGACCGACGAUGGACUUCCCUCGGUACGGAUGUGCAAUAUGCGCAGUCUCGCGCAAACCGAGUGGCAACUGUUUCAGGACUUUAGCAGCGCCAUUACGAACGUCGUCGCACUCGAGAAGGAACUGUCGAUGUCGAACUCGUUGCACAUUGCCGCAACGUUGCUGCGCAUAUUUCGUAAGAAGAAACACAGCCUGGCUGCGGAGGGCUCUGUACCGCAAAACUGAACGUUGCCCGUGCAUGGCAAGGAAGAUCCCGAACACUGUCCGUGUACCGACAGCGUAGCCACGUGCCGAGCAGUUUGAACCCCUUGUUGUUUCCCGCGCAGCUAGUGCGCUUUGCUGCCUGGCGCAAUUAGCGGGCGCAAAGUAGUAGUAUGUACGCUAGUGUUUCCUGUGUUGUGGUAGUGGUGGGUGUGGUAGUUAUAUGCGAACUUUAUGUAAAAAAAACCAUCCAUAUAUUGUCCUCGUGUGCGACAUUCAUAAGAGUUUCCUCGCCUAUCGCGCAUUGCGCUCUCCUGUAUCGUUACCAUAGUAACAGCACGCGCGCAAGUAGUAAACCGAUACGCAUGCAUGCGAAGAGGAGAAAGAGACAGAGAAAGAAGGAGACCCACGAUCGGGUGUGAUCGUGACGGGAGGAAACCAGGGAGGAACACACACAGACAAUUCCAGCUCCGGAGCUGGGCGAGCAACAGGUUGAGAUACCAUUAUUCCGUACCGAGGAAGGACGAUACUUGGCUACAUCGCUGGGAGAUCCGCUCAUCAAGGGACUGACGGAG